rnacentral:rRNA from 1 species
ACAGAAGGGAGCUUGCUCCCGGAUGUUAGCGGCGGACGGGUGAGUAACACGUGGGUAACCUGCCUGUAAGACUGGGAUAACUCCGGGAAACCGGAGCUAAUACCGGAUAGUUCCUUGAACCGCAUGGUUCAAGGAUGAAAGACGGUUUCGGCUGUCACUUACAGAUGGACCCGCGGCGCAUUAGCUAGUUGGUGAGGUAACGGCUCACCAAGGCGACGAUGCGUAGCCGACCUGAGAGGGUGAUCGGCCACACUGGGACUGAGACACGGCCCAGACUCCUACGGGAGGCAGCAGUAGGGAAUCUUCCGCAAUGGACGAAAGUCUGACGGAGCAACGCCGCGUGAGUGAUGAAGGUUUUCGGAUCGUAAAGCUCUGUUGUUAGGGAAGAACAAGUGCAAGAGUAACUGCUUGCACCUUGACGGUACCUAACCAGAAAGCCACGGCUAACUACGUGCCAGCAGCCGCGGUAAUACGUAGGUGGCAAGCGUUGUCCGGAAUUAUUGGGCGUAAAGGGCUCGCAGGCGGUUUCUUAAGUCUGAUGUGAAAGCCCCCGGCUCAACCGGGGAGGGUCAUUGGAAACUGGGAAACUUGAGUGCAGAAGAGGAGAGUGGAAUUCCACG